rnacentral:lncRNA from 10 species
AGAUAUUCUCUGAGACCGGGAACGUCACUGCUCUCCCCUGGUUACCAGCUUCUCAGAGUCUGGCCAGGCAGAACAGGCCCCCACACAAGAAGUUACAUGAAGUGUAUUUAUUUUUUACAGAUAGGCAGCAAGGAACAACAGAGAUUUAGGGUUCAGAGGCUAGGUCAUAGUAGGUGAUCUAACUCUUUCUCUCUUCCUCACCUCUCUCUCUCCCUUCCCCUAUCUCUCUUUAUCAAGGAAUGUGCCUUUGAAGCCCUAAGCUGCCAUAUAUAUGGCUACUGUGAACACGCUGGCUACUGUGCUACAAAGAUCACACGGAGAGAACAGAUACAGAGAAACAGAGAGAGAUUCCUGGGGAACCCUAGCUGCUUCAGUUCCUAGCUUUUGAGGCAUCCCAAACCAGAGGCCAGAUGCGUGAAUGAAUGAGCUCUUGGAUGAUGGCAGCUGCA